AUGGCAUCUUCUACGCCAUGGAUUACAACGGCUUCACCUACAUUGUCGACCGGCGUGGGCCGCUGCCAUGGGGGCUCAAGAAGCUCGGUGCGCCGAGCAUUCUCAAGCAGUACUCCCCGAUCCCCUACGCCCACCUGCUCGUGUCAGAAGGGGAGGUCAUCUUCGUCGGUCUGGUGCUCGCACCACAAGAACCCGGAUGCCCCAAAUCCAUCGGUGGCUUCGAGGUGUACACGCUGGAUCUCAAGGUGA
rnacentral:rRNA from 1 species